rnacentral:rRNA from 1 species
CAAUAGCGUAUAUUAAAGUUGUUGCAGUUAAAAAGCUCGUAGUUGGAUUUCUGGUGGGAGCGAUCGGUCUGGCGCUUAGCGCGAGUACUUGCAUCGUCUCCGGCCAUCCUUGGGGAGAGUCUGUCUGGCAUUAAGUUGUCGGGCAGAGGAUCCUCAUCGUUUACUGUGAAAAAAUUAGAGUGUUCAAAGCAGGCUUAUGCCGUUGAAUAUAUUAGCAUGGAAUAAUAAGAUAGGACUUUGGUACUAUUUUGUUGGUUUGCGCACCAAAGUAAUGAGUAAUAGGGACAGUUGGGGGUAUUCGUAUUCCGUUGUCAGAGGUGAAAUUCUUGGAUUUACGGAAGACGAACUACUGCGAAAGCAUUUACCAAGGAUGUUUUCAUUAA